rnacentral:rRNA from 1 species
UACGUAGGGUGCGAGCGUUUAAUCGGAAUUACUGGGCGUAAAGCGUGCGCAGGCGGUUUUGCAAGCCGGAUGUGAAAUCCCCGGGCUUAACCUGGGAAUGGCAUUUGGGACUGCAAGGCUGGAGUGCGGCAGAGGAGACUGGAAUUCCUGGUGUAGCAGUGAAAUGCGUAGAUAUCAGGAGGAACACCGAUGGCGAAGGCAGGUCUCUGGGCAGUAACUGACGCUGAGGAGCGAAAGCGUGGGGAGCGAACAGG